CCCCAGGAGCCCAUCUUUAGAAUGAAGCCCUGGGAGAAGGAACACAUCAGACCAAUAUUUCCUGUGAAAGUCUUUCCGAUGAGAGCAGUGGAGAUGCUUGCUGAGAAAGUUUGUGUUUAAAGGGAGUGUUCACUGAAUCACUGAUGCCUCCACCCAGGAAAGCCAGUUGAGGGGAAUUUUUGUACUAUCAAUGAAUUCAACCUAUGGUACCUGUUCGCGGCACCUGGGAAGAUUGGCAGGGAAAAGCCUGGAGCUGAAAACUCCUAAGUCCAAAGGAGAGAGAGCGCUGGAGGAUAAUGCCUGGCUGAGGCAAUGAAAGUAAUAAAAAAACAAAAAGCAUGGCUGGAGAGACAGCUGGAUCACUGUCAAACAGGCCUGACCAACCACCCAAGGUUCAUUUCUGGAACCCCCGUAAAGGAGGAAGGAGAGAACCAACUCCACAAAGCCGCCUUCUGACACACACCGUGACACACACGCUCUCCCAGGAAGUUAAUAAAAAUUUUAAAAAUAAACAACUGGAGCCAGGUGUUUAAUCUUUGAACAUCUUUGAUCCCAGCACUCCAGAAGCAGAGGCACGUGGAU